rnacentral:lncRNA from 1 species
ACCGGGUUCACCUUACGUUGUGCAAUUAGCUGUGUUUUGAAGAACCGUAGCAAUGUCUGGUUGGAAUGCACCUCCCACCCAAUAUAAGAAUCCUUUCAACAGUGUUCCCAGGAGAUGGUCAAACAAUCCUUGCUUUAACUCCUGAAAAUACACAGGGGAAGCUUGUUCCUCUAACUGUGAUACCCUCUGCAGAGCAAGAAUAAUUUUGGAAAAAGAAUAAUCCUUUCAUCUUACAGCACAGCCGAAGCCCGGGAUGCGUGGCCAAAGGAAGAAGGAGCAAGAGAUGAUGAAGGAGGAAUAGAGUCCUGAGUGAGCACCUACAAUGCACUAGACACCAGGAACAGAUUCAGAGGAUUUGUAGGCGAAGCACCAAGGCAACCUUCUGACUGGGGAUCUUAUGACACAGAUGUUGAUACACGGAAUGUGCAAGUGUGGAAGAUUCUCGCUGGACUGCGAUGCCUCCAUCCAACACGUAUUUAUUGCUCCGUCGGUGUGUGCAGGUCCUCAUUGGGAGCCAAUGGCAGGAAGGAGGAAAUGAUGGAAUAAAACAGUCUCUGCAGUCUUCCCCAGAAAAAGCGUGUGAAGGAAGGAGAGCAGAGAACAAGCGUCUCUUGUACCAGAAGUGAGGUGUGAUGAGACCUGUCCUGGGAUCAACGGGCC